rnacentral:rRNA from 1 species
UACGAAGGGGGCUAGCGUUGCUCGGAAUCACUGGGCGUAAAGGCGCGUAGGCGGCCAUUCAAGUCAGAGGUGAAAGCCCAAGGCUCAACCUUGGAACUGCCUUUGAUACUGUUUGGCUUGAGACCGGUAGAGGUAAGUGGAACUGCGAGUGUAGAGGUGAAAUUCGUAGAUAUUCGCAAGAACACCAGUGGCGAAGGCGGCUACUGGACCGGUUCUGACGCUGAGGCGCGAAAGCGUGGGAGCAACAGG